ensembl:lncRNA
CUCUACUUUUGUGGCUAGGCUUUUAAAUUCCGGAGUUUGAGGGUCUUUCAGUGCUGGAACAAACACCUCUAUAAUGACAAUCUGUAUGGCAACAGUUGGCUGAGGACGUGCUGGUGCUGCUGUUGUGGUUGCUGCUGUUGUUAUUGUGGUUGUUGUUGCUGUUGUUUUAGGAUUGGCAGUAGAUGUUGUUGUUGUUGUUGUUGUUUUUGUUGUUGUUGUUGUUGUUGUUGUGGUUGUGGGUGUUGUUGUUACAGUUGUAUUAGGAUUGACAGUAGAUGUUGUGGUUGCUGUUGAUGCUGUUGUAUUAGGAUUGACAGUAGAUGUUGUGGUUGCUGUUGAUGCUGUUGUAUUAAGAUUGGCAGUAGAUGUUGUGGUUGCUGGUGAUGCUGUUGUAUUAGGAUUGACAAUAGAUGUUGUGGUUGUUGUUGUUGCUGUUGCUGUUGUUGUAAUAGGAUUGGCAGUAGAUGUUGUGGUUGCUGUUGAUGCUGUUGUAUUAGGAUUGACAGUAGAUGUUGUGGUUGUUGUUGCUAUUGUAAUAGGAUUGACAGUAGAUGUUGUGGUUGCUGUUGAUGCUGUUGUAUUAGGAUUGACAGUAGAUGUUGUGGUUGCUGUUGAUGCUGUUGUAUUCGGAUUGACAUUAGAUGUUGUGGUGGUGGUUGUUGUUGUUGUGUUGUAAUAGGAUUGGCAGUAGAUGUUGUGGUUGCUAGUGAUGCUGUUGUAUUAGGAUUGACAGUAGAUGUUGUGGUUGCUGGUGAUGCUGUUGUAUUAGGAUUGGCAGUAGAUGUUGUGGUUGUUGUUGUUGCUGCUGCUGUUGUUGUGUUAGGUGUGGUUGUAGUUGUAAUUGUAGUGGAACUGGUUGUAGUGGCUUUGGUAGUUGUGGUGAAGGGCUUCCAUACUGUUGUGUGGGUUUGGUUAUUUUGUAGAAUAUGAAAAAUAAAAAUAAAAGUUGAGAAAAAUACCUUCAGCAAGAUGCAGCAGUGCAACCGCUUUAGUUAAAUAAAAACACAGAACACAUUGUAAAAUCUUUUGUAUUAUAUACUGAUGAUGUUCUUUGUUUGACUUACUUGUUACACUGGUGAUACUGAGAGUGGCAUUAGCUUUCAUAAUAGUGUUUUCUAUCUCAACAUCACUGGGUAAGGUUCCAAAUGUCACAUUCAUA